GUGCUCACUUCAGCAGCACAUAUACUACAACUGGAACAAUACAAAGAUUAGCAUGAACCCUGUGCGAGGAUGAUAUACAAAUUUGUGAAGCAUUCCAUAUAAUU
ensembl:snRNA U6 U6 spliceosomal RNA